CUGAGCUGAGGAUGAUUUAAAGUUAUCCCUGUCUGAAAUGGUAUCUUUUGUGAGGAGGUCUGACUUUGCUGAGGCUCAG
ensembl:snoRNA SNORD1C small nucleolar RNA, C/D box 1C